AUCACAUCAAGAGCACGCCAAAGUCACAUCAAACGCACACCGAAUGACACCAAAGUCACAUCAAGGGCACGCCGAAGUCACAUCAAACGCACACCGAAUGACACCAAAGUCACAUUAAGAGCAUGCCGAAGUCACAUCAAAGUCACAUUAAGAGCAUGCCGAAGUCACAUCAAAGUCACAUUAAGAGCACGCCAAAGUCACAUCAAAGUCACAUUAAGAGCAUGCCAAAGUCACACCAAAGUCACAUCAAGAGCACGCCAAAGUCACAUCAAAGGCACGCCAAAGUUAUAUCAAGGACAUGACAAGCUAAAGACACGCCAAAGAUAAAAACACAGCAAAGUCACACCAAAGACAAAGACACAGCAAAGUCACACCAAAGACAAAGACGCCAAAGAUAAAGACACAGCAAAGUCACGCCAAAGAUAAUGAACUUGUCUGCAAUCCAUGACCUGCACACAGGAAGAAGGUCUUCCCAAACAGGAAGUGCCCUGUAACUUUGUCAUACAUUGACCGAUCUCCUUGAAACUUCAUACUUGAGAGCAGGGGCCCGUCCUGAACACAGGAAGUAGAUUAUCCGAAACAGGAAGUGCGUUGUCACUUAAAAUGUAAUUGACCAAUCUGCUUGAACCUUGGGUGUGAGAUAACAACCCAUCAGCACCCAAGAGUCCAAGUCUGACCCGGUCUGUACAAUGCUGCUGUCACGGGUAAAACAGAACCUGUUCAGUUUACCCUGACUGAUGAGUGUGUGAGUGUUUUUAGAGAGAACGGACUGAAAGAGUGAAUGUGAAGGAAUGAGUGUCGAUGUGUUGUCACAUGAAAAAGCCUCAGAGCGCGGUUGAUGUAGCAUCUCGUGUCGCUGCACGCCAGUGUGCAUUAAUAAGAGAACACCUGCGGGAACAUUCCAUCUGCAGCUUCUCAGGAGAAUCACGUUAGAUCCAUUUCUCUCCAUCAUUCAUCUUAGCUGUGACACACACAAGACCAGACAAGACGAUCACCGCUGCUCUCAUCAGCUUCAGCCUCUGCUGGUGAACUACAGCAACUGCAGAUUGUGUUGACAUGUCCUGUUGACUGAGGUUUUGUCCCGUGGUGUGGACACAUACAAGUGUGAGCGUGAGUUGUUGGUCCAGUUUGUGGAGUGAUGAGGACAGAAGGACAUGUGUCUGAGCACUGAGUUCAGUGCCCUGCUCAAAGGCACGUUGAUGGAUGGUGUUUGUGUUUCUCAUCCGUGACCACACCUCCAGUGACCACACCUUCAGCUCUGAAUGAAGCUUAAGCCUCAUAAACCUCCUGUCAAUCAACAACAACUUUUACCCUCAGGUCACAGCAGGAAACUGCAGCGCUGCUGUUCACCACUGGUUGUCGUAGUUGAGCUCAUGUUUAUUCAUUCAUUCAUUCACUGAGAAGUGAAGUGUGAUGAAUGCAGAAGAAGAGCCUUCAUCUGAAGGUCAGGGAUUGAAUCUGUCCCUGUGUUUACCACCUAAUAAUAAUAAAAAUAAUGAUGACUUAGAUUUAUAAAGCGCCUUUCACGAAACCCAAGGUUGCUGUACAACGGAGAACGAGAAGAAAACAAACUAUCAGGUGGCAAAAGCGAGAUUUAAAUGACUCCAGAGUUGGUGCCUGACAAACAGCCAGAGGGAGCUAACUACUCUCCUGUGUGCAGCUAAGCUAAGCUAACUAAUCUCCUGUGUGCAGCUAAAGCUAAGCCAACUACUCUUGUGGUGCUAAAGCAAAGCUAACUGCCCUCCAUCUUUGUCCUGCAUUGUGUUUGAUGUAAAUGCACGCUUAAAACGUCAAUCAUAGUUAAGCCCCGCCCCCUCUCUGGUCUGUUUGACUCUAGACUAUAAUUUAGAAAAUGGCUGUCAUUCUGGUGUUACAGGAGUCGCCCCCUGAUGGACAUUGAUAGAAUGCAGCUUUCACGUGUCUGUUACAAAUAGUUGAAAGUAAAUUCUUCUGUGUUUCUUUUGUG